AUUUAUAUAGUUUAAAAUAAAACACUUCAUUUUCAAUGAAAAAAUAAAUUAUUUAAUUUUAUAAAUU
rnacentral:tRNA from 1 species